UACGUAGGGUGCAAGCGUUGUCCGGAAUUAUUGGGCGUAAAGAGCUCGUAGGCGGUCUGUUACGUCGGCUGUGAAAACCUGGGGCUCAACCCCGGGCCUGCAGCCGAUACGGGCAGACUAGAAUUCGGUAGGGGAGACCGGAAUUCCUGGUGUAGCGGUGGAAUGCGCAGAUAUCAGGAGGAACACCGGUGGCGAAGGCGGGUCUCUGGGCCGAUAUUGACGCUGAGGAGCGAAAGCGUGGGGAGCGAACAUG
rnacentral:rRNA from 1 species